rnacentral:rRNA from 1 species
UCGGGAAUAUUGCGCAAUGGAGGAAACUCUGACGCAGUGACGCCGCGUAUAGGAAGAAGGUUUUCGGAUUGUAAACUAUUGUCGUUAGGGAAGAAAAAAGACAGUACCUAAGGAGGAAGCUCCGGCUAACUACGUGCCAGCAGCCGCGGUAAUACGUAGGGAGCAAGCGUUAUCCGGAUUUAUUGGGUGUAAAGGGUGCGUAGACGGGUAAUCAAGUUAGUUGUGAAAUCCCUUGGCUUAACUGAGGAACUGCAACUAAAACUGGUUAUCUUGAGUACAGGAGAGGUAAGUGGAAUUCCUAGUGUAGCGGUGAAAUGCGUAGAUAUUAGGAGGAACACCAGUGGCGAAGGCGACUUACUGGACUGAAACUGACGUUGAGGCACGAAAGUGUGGGGAGCAAACA